rnacentral:rRNA from 1 species
GUGGGGAAUCUUGGACAAUGGGCGCAAGCCUGAUCCAGCCAUGCCGCGUGAGUGAAGAAGGUCUUCGGAUUGUAAAGCUCUUUUGCCAGGGACGAUAAUGACGGUACCUGGAGAAUAAGCCCCGGCAAACUUCGUGCCAGCAGCCGCGGUAAUACGAAGGGGGCUAGCGUUGUUCGGAAUUACUGGGCGUAAAGCGCACGUAGGCGGGCGAUUAAGUCAGGGGUGAAAUCCCGGAGCUCAACUCCGGAACUGCCUUUGAUACUGGUCGUCUAGAGAUCGGAAGAGGUGAGUGGAAUUCCCAGUGUAGAGGUGAAAUUCGUAGAUAUUGGGAAGAACACCAGUGGCGAAGGCGGCUCACUGGUCCGAUACUGACGCUGAGGUGCGAAAGCGUGGGGAGCAAACAGGAUUAGAAACCCCAGUAGUCC